ACAGCUGUCUGCUUUACCUGCUGUCCUUGAGAAGCAAGACAUGAGAGUGAGAGUGUCCAGGAAUCCUCUGUCCCAUCAACCUUUCAAAGCCAUAAUGAUGAGUUUCAGAUACUUGUCUCCAUAUGUCCCAAUUCACAUGGGAAACAUCUCCCUUUAUCCUCCCUGCUUCGACUGAAUACAAGUCAAGCCCUCCUCCCUGAGACCUUAUAACACAGCCUCAGCCAGUAGCCCUUAUUGAACUGAGAUCCUACACUAAUGGAAAUUCACUUAAUUAUAAAUCUUGAAGAGGACCCAUCAAUACACCAGCAUUGCUUUAUGAUGCUCCAGAGUGUUAUUUUUGAUACCAUUCAGGUGAUCCAAGAGUGAUAGAGAUGUGACACAAGAUCAUGGGUCCCGUCCUGCCAUCUCACACUAUUCACAAAGACGUUGAUUUUGCACAAAGGCGGAACAACACUGAAGACCCAUUUCAUAUUUGUAUGUUUUCUACAGAAUGGCUAUGCAGAUGACGCCGCAUCAAUUCCCGCUGAACAAGCUGGACAAAAGGGGCUCAUGACUCUGUCUGAGGUAUUGUCUAAAAGUCAAUACAGUUCAGUAGCUGAGAAAGGCAUCUGUACACUUGGAGACACCUAUGACAAGGUGAUGUCUCAGAGAGUUCAGAGGAGACAGAGGAGAGAGCAGCUGCAGGGGACUGUUUACUACCUGAGGCCCACAUCAUUACGAAUCGUUCUGUGAUGUUCCCUCUUACUCCAUCUUGGUCUGCCUUUCGCCAUGUUGUCACCCAGCAUUCUGCUUCAGUGUUUCCUCCAGUGUUUCCUUGUGCCUCCGAAUUCCAAGUUGUCUUUACAAGUUGGGCCUAAGCUGUCACUUCACCCCAGGCUCCCUCGCUGGGAUUGGAUCUCUGGGUCUCCUGCAUCACCCCCACUGUCUGCACGGGGCCUACAGAUGCAAGUUUGCUUUGACGGAAGGUGCUAUUCCCUGCGGUUCUAAAAGUGAUGUUGACACAGUGCGGCUGUUCCCUCCGUGUUGACUGACAGACGUUCUUGUUUGUUCCACUUUGUCAAGUGUCCCUGGGCCCAAGGCAGACCUGGGUGAGAACCUUUCUUUCAUUAAGACUGAGCUGUUUGCUUUCAAAAUGGAUCCAUCCUCCAGAUGAUAUUUUAACCCUCCAAAACAAAGUGGAGUACCUCACUCAAGAAAUGGUCAAAUUGGAAGAUAAGUGUGAGGAUUGGAGUCAAGGUCGCACCGCCAGAAUAUCGUGUCAUCAGUGUCCUGGAGGAGGACUCAAUCUUGGUGUCCAUCCCGAAUAUGUGUCUAAACUGCUGAUGGAGACCUUUGUGCUCUGAAGGAACUGCUGGUCGAGAGAGCCCACCUGAUCUUCUUUUUAUUUAUUUAUUUUUAAUAUUUUAAUGAAUUUUGCAUUUUGCAUUAACAGAACAAAACAAACACAGCACAUAUCUUGCCAAAUUACAAAGGAGUAAUAAUAUACAUGGAUUAUAUCAUCACACAUUUGGAUCAUACACAUUGUUUUUUGCCUUAGGGUCAUGUUAAAAGAAGAAAUUUAACAGUAUAAAUUAUUUGUGAAGACAAGGUGUGGACGCCCUUUCUGCAAUAGAUCACUGGAAAGAUGAUCAAGGAGUGGCUGCCAUAUUUUAUAAUAAACGCUGCUGUUACCUUUUAAAAUAGCACAGAGGGAGGCCUCUCCUGGAUCCACUGGGACAGAAUACAUCGCCUUGCUGGAAGCAAAGUUUUACACAAUAAAGUCUGCUGUCCAAUGGACAAAGAGAGCCAUUCUGUAGGUAUACUCAGAAUAAACAAUACUGGAUCUAAUGGAACUGUUUUGUGAAAAAUUGAGCUAAGCUCCUUAGCUAUAUUUUUCCAAUAUCUGGAAAUUAAUGAACAUUGCCAAAUACAGUGGUAGUAGGUCCCUACUUUUUUUUUACGCUUCACACAAAUGGGGGAAUCUGAGGGUUAAUUUGAUGUAGAAAUUGAGGAGUGUGCUGCACUCUGUCUAUAUUCUAUAUUCACUCUCUCAGAGUCUAUUACAUACAAAAGCAUCUGACCACACCUUUGCCUUUAACUCAACCCCUAAGUCCCUUUCCCAUAGCUCCCUGGCUCUAUCAGCAUUAACAGAGACUAAUUUUCCACAGAAAAGAAAAAAUGAAUUUCUUAACAUUGCAGGCAGUUAAAGUAAAAUUAAGAAGGAAGCUCUCAACAGGACUUAAAAUUGGUUGAUCAUUUGGGACCGUAAUGCAUGAUUUUACAAAAUGUCUCGCUUGGAGAAAAACAAAAAAAUGUGUUGUGGUAUUUUGUACUUAUUCUGAAUGUUUUCAAAUGACAUGAAAUUACCAUGUUUGAAUAAGUCAGAAACAAAUCUUAGUUCUUUUGAAUACCAGUCACCAAAAAAUACCCAUUCCUACGCCUGGAGGGAAAGCUUUAUUCUUAAUUAAAGGUUGAAGCCUUAUGAAAAAUCUCUGCGGCCAAUGAGUGUGCUAACCAGGAUUGGGUUGUUUUUAACCUCUGCUGGAAGUUCUAUAUCAGUUGAAAUAAGGCUGAAAAGAGAGAGAGAGGGGCACAACGCCAUACAUCAACAGAUGGCUCUCCUUGAUGUAAAAAAGUGUUAAAGCAAGCUUGAUAUUAUUCGGGCAUGGCAGCCCCAGUUGUAAUAAAGAAAAUUAUGGAGGCGCUUGACCCCCUCUGUCUAUUGGCAACUGUAAAGUCUUCAUCCUUAAACUAUAGAAUAUUUAACAUUUUGUUUACUUUUAUUUUUAUUUAAGACAAUGUUCAUUGUUCCUGAUAUGUUAAAAGAAAAAAGAAAAAAAACAAUAGGGUAACACUUGUAUUUCUGUACUGUGCUGUGUACUUUUUGUCCCUAAUAAUAAAAAAAAUAAUAAUAACA